rnacentral:rRNA from 1 species
UCCCAGACUCCUACGGGAGGCAGCAGUGGGGGAUAUUGCACAAUGGGGGGAACCCUGAUGCAGCGACGCCGCGUGGGUGAAGAAGCGCCUCGGCGCGUAAAGCCCUGUCAGCAGGGAAGAAAAUGACGGUACCUGAAGAAGAAGCCCCGGCUAACUACGUGCCAGCAGCCGCGGUAAUACGUAGGGGGCAAGCGUUAUCCGGAUUUACUGGGUGUAAAGGGGGCGCAGACGGCGAUGCAAGCCAGGAGUGAAAGCCCGGGGCCCAACCCCGGGACUGCUCUUGGAACUGCGUGGCUGGAGUGCAGGAGGGGCAGGCGGAAUUCCUGGUGUAGCGGUGAAAUGCGUAGAUAUCAGGAGGAACACCAGUGGCGAAGGCGGCUUGCUGGACUGAAACUGACGCUGAGGCUCGAAAGCGUGGGGAGCAAACAGGAUUAGAUACCCCUGUA